rnacentral:misc_RNA from 1 species
GAUGAAGAACGUAGCGAAAUGCGAUACUUGGUGUGAAUUGCAGAAUCCCGUGAACCAUCGAGUCUUUGAACGCAAGUUGCGCCCGAAGCCAUUAGGCCGAGGGCACGCCUGCUCGGGCGUCACACGUCGUUGCCCCCCCAUCUACUCCUUCGGGAUUGCGGGGGGCGGAUGAUGGCUUCCCGUGCGCCUCGUCGCGCGGUUGGCAUAAAUGCCAAGUCCUCGGCGACGCACGCCACGACAAUCGGUGGUUGCGAAACCUCGGUUGCCCGUCGUGUGCGGUCGUCGCGCAUCGAGGGCUCGAAAAAAUUGCCGGGCUCCGGCUCGGCUUUCAACGCGACCCCAGGUCAGGCGGGGUUACCCGCUGAAUUUAAGCAUAUCAAUAAGCGGAGGA